rnacentral:lncRNA from 12 species
AUGGUGAUAUAACUGGGAAGCUGACUAGAGCUGCUGACCAUUUUGGUCACCCAGGAAAACUAAAUCCAAGCAACAGAGAGAACCAAGAGACCUGGCUGCAGAAAAAG